GUGCGAGAUAAUUCGAGAGCAUUUCAAGGCAGUGUUAUAUGUGAAUGCUGAGCUACCAUUGUGUAGGCCUCUAUUUAUGACCAAGUGCUUCAGUACUCUUUAUUUUGAUUUGCACAGUAGAGCUGAUAUCGUGGACUUGUUAUUAACUUACUAUUCUCAUUUAACAGAUGGAGAAAUUAGUGCAUUAGUCGUUAAGCAAUGGCUUUGUGUGGUAGCAGAGCAGCAGUAUUUUGUGGAUUGAUACCCUGUGCAGACCACCCUUUGAGUAGCGCAUGUUAGAGCUCAGACUUGGAGUCCUUACUCUGGGAAUCAAGUCAACAGAGCCUCUGUCAUCUGGAAUGUGGUCAGGUCCAAUGGCAGGAAGAAAAAAGUGUGGUGGUGUCCCAACUAAAUACUUCCUCCAAAUGCAACAUAUGUCAGCCCCGCCCACCUUCUAUUGGCCAAAACAAGCCAUAUGGCUGGCCCUGAUCAACUUCAAGGAGAGGAGGUACAAUUCCGCCAUGUUCCUGGACCAAGGAGAACAAAUAGAGAACAGCAUUUUCAGAUAACAGGAAGGAGAGGAGAAAUAGC